rnacentral:rRNA from 1 species
CGGGACAUGCCUAGAAGACUGACUUCAUCAAUACCGUGCUCAUCUUGUUCUAGCACCAAGAGAUCGAAGAUGCACCCCUUCUUCCUCUUCCUCCUCAUUUUCUUGCUUCCCCAUGAAAUCCUCUCCGGCACAGCAGCCGCCGCCUCGUGUAACCGCUGGUGCGGCGACACCACCGUCCCCUACCCCUUCGGCUUCUCCGACGGCUGCCCCAUCGCCCUGUCAUGCGACGCCGACACCUCGCCGACCCUCCCAUACACAGGAGGAGGCAGCGGCACAUCGUACCGCGUUGUCUCCUUCAACUCCACCAUCUCCACCGUCAUGGUCAGCCUCCCUGUGUCGUGCAUCCGCAGCGUCCCAGAUGUCAGGAGGGCGCUCUCGGGCGCCAAUUACGGCGUCUCCGCGCGCACCAUGCUCUCCGUCCGAGGGUGCCACAACGCGUCGGCAUCCAGCUGCAUCAUACCCGCGGGCGUCAUUUCGAGGCUGCUCGACACAGCGCGGUGCGACGGCAGCGAUGCCUCCGUGAAGUGUGUCGCCUCCGUUGCGCCGAACGCCUCCGCCGGGUUGGCGUACAGGCAGUUCCUGCGGUGGGAAGACGUGGAGAAGGCAAGCUGCAAUGACGUGCUGGCGUCGGGGGUGUGUCUGGACAUGGUGGAUGGGGUGCUGCCGCUGGCCAACGAGGUGGCGGAGCUGGCGUGGUGGCUCAACGGCACGUGCGUCGGCGGCGGCGGGGGUUGCGCGGCGAACGCGACGUGCUCCGAUGUAAAUACGCCGAGCGGGUCGGUGGGGCACCGGUGCACGUGCGUGGCAGGAAUGGACGGCGACGGGUUCUUGCCUGGAGACGGAUGCUACGUCGGUGAGCACUGCUUUCACCUGAACCUUUUUAACAUCCCCUGAUUUCGUUUCCCAUACAUGUUUGAAUAUAUGAGUAUUGAAUAUGUUGGCACUGGUCCCGACGUCGACGAGUACUUUCCGUCAAGGUGACACACGUGCACAACCCGGCUGCUUGAUGUGUUCUAGCCGGUCGAUACUUUUGACCAACACACGCACGUACGUUGCAACCAAGUAGGCACUCAGGCAGGUGGAUCGAAUCUGUGGAAGCUAGCUAGACGUACUUGAUCGAUUGAUCUCGCCGGGAACUCACGCACACACACGAAACAAAUACGAGACGCUGAUGGAUAGCAAUAGGUGCGUGUCGCACCUAAUACUUUAUUUCUUUUUGAUCUGGGUUAAUAUUACAACGUAGGGGUACAUGGAUAUUUAAAGGAGCUAAGCUGCUAGUCCUAAACUAGUCCGAGUCCUAUUACUAAUCCAAUGUUAAAUCGGUGACUGCUAUCACUAUCUAGUCCGUGCCGGACAAGGAAAACCACUACAUCGUGGUUAAUCCCAACAGAAUAGUCCGCAUAUUUUUGUUAGAUUUAUAGAUUCUGUAGAUUUAGAGCCUGUUCGGAAUUCCGGCAGCUCCGCGAAAUCCCCGCAGCUGCGGAGCCAGGAAACAGCAGCUCCAUAAUUUUCAACAGUAACUCCACCCGCUCUGGGAGUGGAGUUGUGGAGGGGAGGUCCUCCGAACAGGGCCUUAGUAUUCCCGACGUAUCGGGCAUUCGGGCUACAUCAUCGGGGAAGUCUGUCAUCAACCAACAGAGUAUGGUUUCCGCUGCUGAGCGUCUGAAACAUCUGUUGCGUAAGCUUUUGACUUACUGAAAUGGUAGAAGGUCUUUUAUAUGAGUCUGAGUUGGUAGAAGAGAAGUGGAACUAUAUACGAUUUCUUUAGUUGUAGUAACUAGUACGCCGCUAUUAAUCGUUAUUUCCCCAGUAUAUAACACUAUCACUGUUAAUAAGAGUUCCUUACAUCUGAGCUGAUGAUGCUAGCUAGCCGUCUCAUCUGAUCUUGGUGUUGCCCAUCCCUGUAUGAAUCUCCAACAUCGGAUGGAUUCGGGCGAGGAAUAGGAUUUCGAUAUAACAAAAUCUCAAGUGAUUAAAAUGUAGUGAAACCAUUCCUCCAAAUUAAUUUGCAAUGGUAGAAAAACUACAGUACAGUUUAGAAGCUUAACUUUGACGUCUGCUAUUGUUUGUUCCCAUCUUUUCAUGGAGAAGGUGCAUCCCUGCGUGGUGUCUCAAGCUCAAAGCGCCGAAAACUAACACUGCUAGUCAGCGUAUUUGGCGCGUUCGUGCUUUCUCUCGGCAUCUUUUCCCUCUUCCUCGUACACCGGGGAGAAGGCGCAAUGCCACGACGAAGACAACCAAUCAGAUCCCAAAAAAGGCAGUAACACACUUCGAUGGCGAACUCGUAGAGAAGGAGCUAGAGCAAGGAGCCAAUGGACCCCGGCCAUUUUCCUACCAUGAGCUCACCAUCGCCACCGACAACUUCUCUGAUGAUAGGGCGCUAGGGAGAGGAGGCUUCGGGUCUGUCUACCGAGGGUUUAUGAGCAACAUGAAACGGGAAGUGGCUGUCAAGAGGGUUUCUGAGACCUCCCGGCAGGGUUGGAAGGAGUUCAUCUCCGAGGUGCGGAUCAUUAGUCGGCUCAGGCACCGGAACCUUGUGCAGCUCAUUGGUUGGUGCCACGGCGGCGACGAGCUCCUCCUCGUCUUAUGAGCUUAUGCACAAUGGCAGCCUCGAUUCUCAUUUGUAUAGAUCUGACUGCAUGCUGACAUGGCCUGCUAGAUAUGAGAUAGUGCUCGGUGUAGGUUCGGCGCUUCUAUAUCUGCACCAAGAGACGGAGCAACGCGUGGUGCACAGGGACAUCAAGCCUAGCAACAUUAUGCUAGACGCCUCCUUCAUCGCCAAACUCGGUGACUUUGGGCUCGCCAGGCUCAUCAAUGACGGCCGGAAAUCGCACACGACCGGCAUAGCCGGCACGAUGGGGUACAUCGAUCCGGAGAGCUUGCUGGCCGGCAGGGCGAGCGUCGAGUCGGAUGUGUACAGCUUUGGAAUUGUCCUCCUUGAGGUAGCCUCUGGGCAGCGGCCAGCUCUAGUCCAGGAAGACGGUGACGUCGUCCACCUGGUGCAGUGGGUGUGGGACUUGUAUGGCAAAGGAUCAAUUCUAGAUGCCACCGACGAGCGACUUAAGGGGGAGUUUGACAGCAGGGAGAUGGAGCGUGUUAUGGUCGUGGGGCUCUGGUGUGCGCACCCUGACCGUGCGAUGCGUCCAUCCAUCAGGCAAGCGUUGAACGUGCUGCGGUCUGAAGCGCCAUUACCAAGCCUCCCGGAUAGGAUGCCGGUAGCGACCUAUGGGCCACCGACUAAUCAUUCGAGUUCCGGAACUUUGGCGCUGAGCAGCGUCAGUGGCCGGUGAUGGCGUUCCCACCAGAACAAUAGUUAAAUUCUUCAGUAAUUAUAGAAUCUUAGUUCCUCGUGUCGGUUAUCAAUUGUCCACGAUCAAUAGGAGACAAGUAUGCAUGAAUAAAAUGUUGCCGCCGCUGAGCAUCUACGGAGCAAACACCAUGUAUAUUGCCAGAUCAUCUUUGUUUGCAAAGAAACUCUUCCUCUUCCUUCUCAGUUUCUUGCACCUGGCUUGAUGUCCCUAUGCACCACUUCUUCCUC